rnacentral:lncRNA from 7 species
ACAUCAGGCAGCUCUCCCGAGCAUGACGCUGUCUCUGUUCACAACUCUUCCGAGCACGCCGCCGUCAGUCCUUUGUCAUCAUCAUCAGCUCAGAUCUAGCAGCUUCGCCUUCUCAGGUAAGGGCUCCGCUCACAUCUUCAUAUCCCUGCUACUAGGUUUUCUUCGUUUAUCCUCGCUCGGAUUCUUGCAGAUCUCGCUCACCUUGUAGAUCUCGCUCAGAUUCGUUUGUUCUCGCCAGACGCGCCCACUUCGCAGCCGCCGCUAUGCCUAUGCUACCGCAUGGGCCUCUGCGCCUGGGAGGCUUGCGGCUGCCAGGCUUAAGUCACGGGGCAGCAGGAGUUCAGUUUUUUUAGGCCUUUGAAACAAGGCUAGCGCAUAUUAGCAUCGAGAGUCAGGAGAGUACGAAUGGGAAGUACCGUCAUAAAAUUAUCUUUGCUACUAGCAAUAGGAAGCACCGUCAUAAAAUUAACUCUGGUAAUAAAAUCGAUUGGAUAUAUAUUGUUUCUAGGAAACUAGGAAGGAUCCCGUGUAGAAAGUGUGGAUAGAUAGCCUUUUUCAUCGGAUCAUUUGGUUUUUUCUUAAAAUAUUUCUUUCAAAACAGUCUCACUUUUUUCUUAAGUUGUAUUGGUGCUCCCUAAGAUCGAAAGCAGGAAUACUACUUUUCUGCAAAAUCACAAAAAUGCACACAUUUGGGACCUUUCCUAAGCUGUGUCUUCGAGCAACCAAAAAGCUGAUGUUAGUUUAUUUUCAUUUUUUUGAGAGAAGAAAAUUCUUUGCUUGAUGCUUAAUCAGAGAUGAAAAUAUUGAUCAUUUUUUACAUGUGCGCUGAUCAUUUUUUUACUGGACUGCUGUCAGGUAUAAUUGGAGUGCUGUCAUAAGUGGAGUGUUGUUAGUUACAUGUGUGCUGAUCAUUCUAAUCACAUUGUUCGUCGUUAAUCAUGUGAAGAAAAUAUUCAAAGUUAUAACUUGAAUUUUUGUUGAAUCUGGCAAUUGUAUGGCCUAGAAUUUAUUGUUCAUUAGUCAGAAAGACUACUUAAGUUCGUUAGUUCAGGUCUUGCUGAUUUACUUUGCAGCAACAUGGUAUAUAAACCUGAUGCAUUCUCUGAUGAACAGACUUUAUACACCAUCACUCACAUUCUGAUGAACAGACUUUAAUUAUAAUGGCUAGAUGCACUUAUUGUUUUCGUUUGUACUCUAUAAAUCAAUUACAUGUUUCCUUAGUGGAAGACCACAAGUCUAGACUAGUAGUCUAGUAUUGGAUCCCUUGGGACUGAAUGAUCUCUUUAUGAUUUUGGUUUCAGCUUACAUGAGCACAUAUUGUGUGGCAACAACUUCAUUUUGCCAUCCAAGAACAUGUUAGCAGCAACAUCUUCAUAUUGUUUACAUCCGUCCAUGUUGUAUCAUUAGACAACCAAUUUACAUAACUACAUCCUUGAAUGGUAAAGUAGCUUGUAGGAUACUUGUAAAAAAGGAAUUAAACCCAAUUUAUUCUAGUGUCAAAGUUCAUAAUGAAGGGACUUGUACUAUGUUUAUAUGUUAUAUUGUCUAUUUGUACGUGUGAAUGGAGAUGAUCUUAUGUGAUGGGAUGAUGGAUAGAUUAACUUUGAUGGAUAUUAGAUGAUAUUUAAGUUAAACUUUGUUGGAUAUUAGAUGAUCAAGUCCGGUGCAUGUUUUUUUAGAUUUUUAGUGAUAUUUCAUUGUGUUUUUUAUUUUUCUAAAUAUUUCCUAUUUUUCUUUGAUUUUUGUGAUUUUCUGAAGUAUUUUGUCUCAAAAGGGGUUUUUAGUCCCUUGGUUGCCAAACAGUGGCCGAGAAAUACACCCGAGUGGAAAAAAUCCUACUAGGGAAUUGAGGUGUCAUUUAAAAUCCCCUUGGUAGAUUAAUUCCCUAGGUUUUUUAUCCAUUUGUUGCCAAACUAGCGCUUAGGGGGUUGAAAUCCCUACAACGGUGCCCCAUUUAAACUUCUCUACACGCUACAGUUUUAGUGGAGGCUACAGAAAAUAAACAGAUGUGGGUGUGUGACAGUGAGCUCCCUGCCCUCGGUUUACGUGUACGGCAGUGUUUUUAGUUGGGAAAAAAUGAUAAUAGAGGGUGAAUAUGUAUGAAAAAUAAUAUUUUAUGAUUAAUAGUGGGGUAUAGGGGAAGAAUUUAGAGAGACCCGCUGUACAUGGUGGAAAUAUAGGGGAAGAGAGAUAGCUGACGUGGCGGGAUAGUGAGGUAUAGAGAGAGAAAUUUAGAGGAGACGAUUGAAGACAAUCUCACACCAGUCGACUAGUCGAGUGUGGUAGUGGUCUCUUUCAACAAAUCAGAGAGUUACGGGAGGGAGGUGCGAUGGCGAAAAUAAAAAAAAUAUCCAUUCAUCGGUGGAUGAGGAAUGAUGCCACCAUAUUUAGAUUGCGCAUUUCUUAUAUUUAAACCCUAGAAAUUAAAAUAUGACCUAGAUUUAAAGUAUUUAGAGCACAAAAUUUUUGCAGCUCUAACAAUUGAGUUCUACAUCAAUGUUAUUUAAGAAAUAAAAAGUUAGAAAUAAUAUCUAAAUAUAUCAUGUUGU